rnacentral:lncRNA from 1 species
AGGUUGAUAAUUUCAUGAUUGGGAUCUAUGCAUAUUCAUUUAGUUUGCAUUCAUAUUAGUUGCAUUCUUAAGACUUGGCAGAAAAGAAAUGAAUUUUGUGGGUACAUUCACUAUAGGCCCUCACGAGACCUUACUCGUCCACUAGGGCUGCCUAGGGGUUUAAAGGGCUUGUUGCAUAUGCCAAAUGCAACCGUGAUCACCUACGGAAGUGGUAUAUAUCUAUUAGGUGUUAGCUUAAGUUUAUUUUAUUUGCCCGAGGACGUGCAAAACACUAAGUGUGGGGAUAUUUGAUAGAGCAUAUAUUUAUAUAUGCUUUUAUAUGAUUUUAUUCCCAUAAUUGUAGUAUUUUGUAAAUAAUCGGGUAAUUACUAAUUGAUUUUAAGUGUUUAAUGGCAGGAAAAUAAAUAUUCCUAAGUUGGAUGAAAUUAGCUUAUUUGGGCUUUUAUUUGAUGGAAAUUCGGACUUUAUGGGCUACCUGCGAAUCAAAUCUUGUUUGGGCCAUAACUUGAGCUCCGGGCGUCAGAAUUAAGCGAUUCAACAGCCCACGCGAAGAUAUUGGAAUUUUCUACAAGUAUAAAGUGGCCCAGCUCUCUAAAGACAAAUGGAUCAGCCCAGAAUCAGGCCUGAAAGUCAGCCUACGAAUUUCUUUUCAGAAUCGAAAUUGUUUUAGGAAAAUAUAUUUGUUUUUCAAGGAAACCAUUAAAACACUAUUAUUAUUAGGUUUUGUAUGAUUAGAAACAUAUUGAGAAUUGUGUAUUGAGAGACGGAGAUAGAGAGAAAGCUUUUGGAGAGAACUUGAGCAAAGAUUGAAGGGAUUCAGUCCAAGUUCGAGAGAUUUCGUCAAGUUGUAUUUUCUUACUCUUGUACUCUUGUGACAUGAUUUCAGUUAUAUAUAUAUUCGUGUUUUCUUUAAUUGUUAUGGGUAACUAAUCCUUUAAUCCGAGGAUUGGGGAGUAUUUGUUGGCUUAAUAUGUUUGUUUGAUCUAAGAUUGUGGUUUCCCUAUGUAUGCUAAUCUGUCAUUGAGCGCUUAACACAGUUAUAGGAGUCGCGAACCUGUAAUUGUAUCUGUAGGAUUUAUAAUGAAUCGGGAGAGGAUUUAUAUCUCUUGUACAUGAUAUGACAGACAUAACUCGAUUAAUUAAUCGGGAGAUUAUUAGGCGAGUUGUGAAACAAAAAAUCCUUGGUUCGUGAUAACUUAUAAUUUCGUUUUGAUUGAUCAUGGGAGUGACUUCAAGAUUAAAUUAUAGGUAUUAUUUUGUAUCUUGGGAGAGAACAUUAUAAUCAAUAGAAGGAUUGUUUUUAGCAGAGUAGAGACUUGCAUAUCACAAUUGAUUGACAUUCAUUGUAGCCAGCAAAGAAACCUGAUUCUUGGAUUGCCUUUUAUCUUCGUUAAUUCACACUUUUACUUGCUUUAUUAGUUCAAUUUAGUUAAUAGUAAAAACACAACUUUUCUCUAAAACUUCUAAAUAGAAAGGAAUAAUAUACUUGGUUUGAUAUUGUAUUAAGUCCUUCCCUGAGAACGAACUUUACAUAAAAUCACUGCAACAAAGCUUAUCAAAGCUUUCAAGGCAAAAGCUUUUCAAGCUUUCAUGGUUUUGGGCUUACAGUAGCCCUUCAAGGUUUAAAGCUUAUCAAAGCUUUCAAGGCAAAAGCUUUUCAAGCUUUCAUGGUUUUGGGCUUACAGUAGCCCUUCAAGGUUUAAAGCUUAUCAAAGCUUUCAAGGCAAAAGCUUUUCAAGCUUUCAUGGUUUUGGGCUUACAGUAGCCCUUCAAGGUUUCAAGCUUAUCAAACCUUUCAAGGCAAAAGCUUUUCAAGCUUUCAUGGUUUUGGGCUUACAGUAGCCCUUCAAGGUUUAAAGCUUAUCAAAGCUUUCAAGGCAAAAGCUUUUCAAGCUUUCAUGGUUUUGGGCUUACAGUAGCCCAUCAAGGUUUAAAGCUUAUCAAAGCUUUCAAGGCAAAAGCUUUUCAAGCUUUCAAGGUUUCGGGCUUACAGUAGCCCCUCAUGGUUUAAAGCUUAUCAAAGCUUUCAAGGAAAAAGCUUCUCAACCUUCCAAGGUUUUGGGCUUACAGUACCCCUUCAAGGUGAAAACCCAUCAAGGCUUUCAAGGCCGAAGGCUUAUCAGGGCUUUCGAAUUUGAAGCCUAUCCUGGCUCGCAAGGCUAACUUGGUGGAAUUAUUACAAGGCGAACUUGGUGGAGUUAUUACAUGGCUAACUUGGUGGAAUUGCUACGAGGCUUACUUUGUGGAAUUAGCUCGGAGCUUGCACUUGGAGAUUAUUCUAAAAAAGCUUACAUCUGGGGAUCACUUUAAGGCUAACGCCCAAGAAUAUCUUUCGAGGUUCACAUUUGGGGCUCACGGGUAAAGCCCCAAUGCCAAGCUCUCACAUAAGGUCAAGCUUACCUAUCCUUGGGUGGAUUGUUAAAGAUUAAGUACUCUUAGACUAUCAACGUGCAUCCUCAAAGAAGGAGACAAUCCUGAUGAACAAAGUCUCGAGGGUCACAACCCCCCAGAAGGUGGACAAUGUGUACACUUUCAAUAUAAGGGUUACCCCCUGCGUUCAUUCCCCUUACCUGCACGGAAGGGUUAGGCGACCAACACAAUAAUAUCCAAGGAAAUACAAGAAAGGCAUACAAGGCAAAGAAUGAAGAAGUGAAAGCAAUUACAUAGAAAAUAAACUACAAGGGAAAUUCGUCCCCACACCAACAGGGGGAGGCCCUUGUAGCGUUAAAAAUAUCUCGCGGGGCAUUCGGAGGUGCCCGCACCCUCAUCCAAAAUAUCAAAUUCGUGACGAUAAGCGCCACGCACAAAUUCAGGAUUAACAAAAAAUAAAAGUUUGAUUAACUAAGAGGAGGGAAGAUCAAGGAGCAGCAGGGGAGGAGGAGCCCUUCUCGUCAGCAGCGAGGAUGUCUUGCGGAGCCUGGGUUGCCACUAGGGUUGCAGCUGGAACCCCUUCCGGGGGCGUCACCUCAGUUCCCGCAGAGAUCGGCUCUACGGGCUUCGGUUCGUCUUCAGCCACAACCCUCUUUUCAGUAUCAUCCCCGGAGAAACCUUGGCAAGUCGCCGGAACCUUCUCCUGGCCAGCAGCAUCUUCGGCCUUCGCCUCCUCCAGGGCUACCGCAGCAUCGGGCCCCAACUUGGCCCAAUCAUUGUCAGGGAAGAAGCGGUAGGCCUAAUUCACGCAGUCCUUGACCCCUGCGGCAACUCCGGCCUCAAAAACGGCGGCCUCCCGCUCCUUCCUCGUCGCCUUUGCAGCAACGGCAGCCUCCUGCAGCUCCUUCACCUGGCCCUCCAGCUUUUUGACCAUUUUCCCAAGGCCAUCAGCCUCCUCCUCCAAGGAACGUGUAAUAUUCCGUAAUUUUUAGAAUAAUAUUAAUUGAUUAGUAAUAUUAAUAAAGGAUUAAAAUUGGAUUAGAUUAGGUUUUAAAAUUGAAAUAGGAUAAUGGGCCUAAUAUGGAUCAGACUUGUAUCCGGAUAACGGGUAAGUUUAGAAUUAGGGUUUUGAGACUCUUUAUAUAUCGAUCGUGUUCCCUCGUUUUUUUAUAUCUUUUGCGAGCUCCCAAUCUUUUCUCUUCUUUUUAUUACAAAAAUUCAUAGGGUUUUUAUUCAGAAAUCAGCUGUCUUGUAAAAUUCGUAGUAAAUUCAAUUCUUAUCGGAUUUCGAUGAUUUUUAAUGUGUCGGAAAGCUCUUUCAAUUUCCUACAACUUUCGUUUACAAUGUUUUCUCAGAUUCGUUUUCGAACUGUUCUAAAAAUUACAAAACAUAUUCAGGUCCUGUUUUUCGCUUUGAAUCUGAUCAGCAAACGUUUUAUUUAAUUCCCGAUUCGUUAUGAGUCCGUUUUUGAUGAGCCUUACCUUUUCGGAAAGGUCUUUUCGUCCUCUACAGCUUCCGUGUUUUGUGUUUUUCCAGAAAAUGUUGUUUAUGGGGUCAAAACAGUAGAUUAGUGAUCUGGACAGAUUGGAUUCGCAGAGGAUUUUGGAGUCUAGGAUGAGAUGAUUUCGGUUGGUUGCCAAGGAUUGAUUAUAUGAUCUAGGAUGGUGUUGAGGUAAGUUUCUGACCGAUCUUUCUAGUGUUUUAAAAAUUAUGUGUUAUAUGUUUAUAUUUGAUUAUAUAAAUUUGGGCUAAGUGAUUAUAUUUUGAAUUGAUUUUCGUUCUCGUAUAUGUGCGGUGUUGACGAUGAUUUCGGAACUCUGAUUUAUGCCAUGGUUUGUGAAAAUAAGAAUAAGAAUAAGGACCGAGUCACCGGGUUAUAGUGACAGUUUUCGGAAAAUUCAGGACCGUUAUCACCGGGUUGUAGUGGUCGUGGUAUAAAUUAUGAGUUCUGAGUUAUUGUUCACCAUGUGAUUGUGGCAUCGAAUAAGAAUAUGAAAGUGUUUUGAAAGUAUUUGUUUCGUAUAUUGUUAUCGUAUUUUAUAGAAAUUAUAUUUUAUCAUAUGUGUUUGCUAGCCCCAAUUUCCUUUCCAAGCUUGUAUACACUUUUUAAUUUCUAUGCAAAUCUCUUUUAGCUUAAUCUUGUAUUGUCUUUUUAAUUUAUUUUCUCCAAGUUGUAUGAUUUUUUUAAGUACCACCACAUGCUUUUUAAGCUUUUGGGAAAUGAAGGAUCAUUAAGCUUGUGAUUAGUAUAGAUUUGUGAUCUUUUGAAAUAGUAAAUUAAAUCCUAGCACAAAAUUAAUUUGUGUUAGGGUUUAGAUUUAGAACCCCAAAAUUAUCAUAUUUAUAAUUUUAAGUGCUAGUAGUAAAAAUUUAAAAUAGACAGCUUGUUUUAUGUUUACACUUACUAAUUUGCUUUCGUCUUUAUUUCUUAAAACACAAAACCCAUUUACCCUGUUUUCGUUUGUUUGCUACUGAGUCCACAUCACCGAGUCAGUCCCUGUUUUCGUCAAUUCGCUGAGUCUAUAGUUCAUUGUUUUGUGUGUUUAAUUUCUCUGGGUUCGUCUUUCUUGCUGUGAUUCAUUUUGCUAUCUACGAGUUCAAGCUGCCGAGUUGCUUGCGGAGUCUCGUCUUAGUUUGAGUCUUGUAGUUUUGUUAGAGUUCGAUAGCUGAGUUGUAGCUUUCCGUACCGAGUUAUAGCUGAGUGCGUUGUUAGAUUUGUCUACUGCUUGUUUGCUGUUUCAUUUGCAAGGUUCCAGUCCAUUUUUCGUACGAGUCGUUACCUUGAGUUCCUGUUUCGUCUGAUGGCUGAUUUCUUUUUUUUUUGCUGUUAGUUUGAACAGAGUCGCGUUCUUAUUGUUACUGGGUGUUUUUGGUGUUUGCCGAGUCUUAAUCGAGUCCACCGAGUCGCAUAUAUUGCUCUGUUCUGAGUUUUUUUUUUCGAGUUAGCUGAGUCCAAAAAAACGCCUUUCCGAGUUGGGGUCGAGUUUGUUUUUCUGCACUGAGUCAUGCCGAGUCGUGUUCUGGGUUUUGUAUGCUUUCCGAGUCCUGGCUGAGUUAACCACUGAGUUUAGAUUCUGGGUUUCAUUUUGUUAGUUGAAUUUGUAUGCUGGGUUUAGUUCGGAGUUGAUAGCUUAGAGUCCAGUCUGUUGGGUACUGUGUGUUGCUGCGUUUUAAGUUUACUGGGUUUAAUCAAUCUGAGUUCAUCAAGUCAUCUUCUCUGUUUUGCUUGCGGAGUUUAUCGAGUUUUGCCUGCUAGUUUCUGAGUUUAUUGUUUCAUUUUAGCUGAGUCAUUUCCCUGUUCUUUGAAUCACCGAGUUGAGCCGUUGCUGAGUUUGUGUAUUGUUGGCUGCUGAUUUCGUUUUAGUUUAGCCAAGUCCGUUCCUGUUUCUCCGAGUUAGUCACCUGUUAGUUUACUUUGUUUAGUCACGAAUAUGAGUCGCUGGUUUGUUUUUAAUCGAGUUAGAGUUUUUGAUUUUGAAUGCUUGGUUGGAAUUAUGGCUGAGUUUAAAGUUCUGUUUUGAUUUGAAGUCACAAUCGAGUCAUGUGUUGAAGAGUCCUGCAGGUUUUGGUUUUAUGUUUUCAUUUUGUUCACCUUUCUGUUUCGAGUUUAGUCGAGAUUUGCUUAUCUUUUUGAUAAAUUUGAUUGCUUGCGUUUUUUAUUUAACCAUGUCAUCAAGUCAAAGCCCCUUUCCCUGGUUUUGUGUUCUAAUAAAUCAAUUAGUCUUGUUUUAAUUAUUUGGCUUCAAUAAUUUUCUAGACACAAUUUAACUAGUUAGGUGAUAAUCAAGUAGCUUAAUUAAUUUUCUUUCUAGAAUUGGCAAUUUUAGACUAAAAUUUGAAAACUCUCUUUCACAAAUUUCUUUGUUCUAAUUCGCCUAGAUUAAGAAUUUAAGGUUGCGAAAAUAAUUAAAUUUAAUCCCUGUGGACGAAUCUUAAAUAUUAAAACGGUGAUCGUGCGCUUGCGAUUUAAAAGGUAAUAUUUUCUAGCACAUCAAGUUUUUGGCGCCGCUGCCGGGGAUUAAAAUUAAUUUUUCGCUCCUUUAUUUUUAAUCUUUCGGAUUAGCUUGUUUUCUCACUAUUUUUUGUUUUUUUUAUUUCGAGGAGGAUUAUUCGGGAAUCAUGGAGUAAAGUGGACAAAUUUUACCCGGAUUUGGAAGCUUGCUUUGGUAGCCCGUAUCUCUCCACUCUUAUUUUUUUGCCUCUAUUUAGAAAAUCACAAACAAAUUUGAAAAUUGAAAAACACAAACAAAUCAAAAAUUUAAAAUCCAAAAAUAUUAGUUAGAACUACAUAUGUGUCGCAUCAUGCAUUUAAUCACUUAGGGCACAUCAUUUAGAUUUUAAUUUUUGUUUUUAAAUUUUCGUACCUUUAAUUGUGGUGAUCGCUGGAGGACCCUAAGGUGCGUUAAUUUCUUUCUUUUCUCUAGAUUAAAACACGUAGUUUAGAGCAUCCAUAAUUGUUUAUAGCCUUUAUUAUCUCGUUGUGUGGAGCAUCAUUUUAAAUAAAUCUUAAGGGCAAAACCCAAUCACAAGAUAAGGGGAGGGAUUUCAUCACUCCUUCCUUAGCCCACAACAACUAUUUCCACAUUUUGCAUUCCCUAGCCUUUUAAUAAAAUUUGAAUUAGACGUUAGCCCCUAGGAUUUCGCGCUCAACUAGGAAGGUACCUAAAAGACGAGGUAAUCUUUAAUUAUUCCGACUCUUCGGUGUCUAAGGACAAGCGAAAGCUUACCUGGCCGAUUAAGGUUUGGUGUCUAAGCGCGGAGAUUGGCCUCUUGGCAAUGCCUGCUCCAAACUGGCCAAACCGGUCCGAAUAAUUUUGGAUUUAUCGAGUUUUUGGUGGUCCUUAACGUUAGGAGCAAGGUCUAGUUCAUUUUUAUUAGGGAACCCUAGAAUUAAGUUUUCUUUCACUUUUACACCCUUUCUUUUGUUUGUUUUAUUUCUUCGCACUUACUUGCUACGUGUUUACUAUCUAGUUUAUGCGAACUACUUGGGUUAGGAACGAAUCGUCUAGAUUAGUUAGACCGAUCAUCGAAAUUCCUUCUUCGUCCUCUUCGGACUCCGAACCCAUAGAAGCUAGCGAACCGAUAGUAAACAUGGCCUUGUCUCUUAAAGACCGUUGUUACCCAUCCCGUUCCGCUCAACCAUCGUGCAUCACCCUUCCUCCCGUUAAAGACCGAUCAUCGAGAUUCCUUNNNNNNNNNNNNNNNNNGGCCUUGUCUCUUAAAGACCGCUGUUACCCGUCCCGUUCCGCUCAACCUUCGUGCAUCACCCUUCCUCCCGUUAAUGGGAAUAAUUUCGAGAUUAAGGCACAUCACAUUAGCAUGUUGCCUAAGUUUUUAGGGAGUGAAGGUGAGGAUCUCUAUCUUUUCAUUCGAGAAUUUGAGGAGGUUUGCGGUUUGCAAAAACUCCAACAAUUGAGUGAAGACUCCAUUCGGCUUAGACUAAUCAACUUUGCUUUGAAAGAAAAUGCUCAAAAAUGGUUGUAUAGUCUUCCCGUCAAUUCUAUUUCCACUUGGGAGGGGUUUGUGGUAAUGUUUCUUAAAAAGUAUUUUCCAAACCAUAAAACGACUCGAAUUACAAAUGAAAUAAAUCAAUUCCAUCAAAGGGAAAAUGAGUCUUUUUGGAAAUUCUUUGAUCGUUUCAAAAAUCUUUUAUCACAAUGCCCCCACCAUGGAAUAGAGAAAUGGAGACUUUGUAAGAUUGUGUACGAGGCCUUAGAUAGUCAAACAACCGCUUUGUUAGAGUCUAUGUGCCAAGGCAAAUUCAUGGAGAAAGAUGAGGACCAAGGGUGGGAAUUCUUCGAGGACUUAGCCGAGAAAACAAUGUUAUGGGAGUCUGCUAGGGAACCUAAAAAGUCGAUCGAGGCAUCUAGCUCUAGGGGUUUGCACUCGAUAGGAAACAAUGUGGCAACCGAUGCCAAAUUAGCAACCCUUACUAAGAGACUCGAAGCUUUAGAGUCUCAUAGUGGCCCCUCAUCUAUGCCUAUGUUCCCGAACUAUAAUGCUCCCCAUCCCGAGAUCCAACAAUCUCACGAUUUUGAGCAAGUGAACGCGAUGUUUCAACCCAAGCCUAGAAAUGACCCGUUUGCACCAACGUACAACCCCGGGUGGAAGAAUCACCCGAAUUUCUCGUGGAACCAAGGGCAAAACUUUCAAACUCCACAACCCAAUUUCCAAAGGCCCAAUCCUAACUCUUUUCCGAAUUAUCAAAACCCGAGUCAAGCUCCGUUGAAUCCUCCCGGUUUUAAUGAUUCGGAUAAGAGACUCAAUUCCUUAGAAAAGAGCAUAGAGGCCUUAGUGAAAUCGCAAACUAACUUGACCCAAUCCCAACAAACUUUCAUGCAAACUUUAACCCAAGAUAGGCAACUUUUGCAUUCUAAUGUGCAAGCCGUCUCUAAGUUAGAGUCCCAAUUGAGUCAAUUAGCGAGCACGUUGUGUGAACGAGAAAAGAACAAAUUCCCAAGCCAACCGGAGCCGAAUCCAAAAUUUCCACUUAAUCAAAGACCCCCGGAUAAUGUGCAUUCGGUCAUUUCUCUUAGGUCGGGUAAACAAGUUGAUCCCCAAGUUGGUGAGAACCUCGGUAAGAAAGGGGAUUCGACUUCUAACCCAAGUCCACCCAUUACUACCAUUAAUCAUGACAAACCCAAGUGUUCAAAAGCCCGUGAGGAGUCGAGUGACCCAAACCCGGAACCCGAGUUGCAAAGUGAAGUAGUCUAUAAACCGAGAGUCCCUUACCCACAAAGACUUAUUUCACCUAAGCAAUCGGCUCAAAUGGAGAAGAUUUUGGAAGUGUUUAAGCAAGUCAAGGUCAACAUACCCCUUUUAGAUGCAAUUCAACAAAUUCCUUCAUAUGCUAAGUGUCUUAAGGAGUUAUGUACCCAUAAGAGAACCAACCAUGUUCCUAAGAAAGCUUUCCUUACAUCUCACAUUAGUUCGAUUCUCUCAAACCAAAUUCCCGUGAAAUACAAGGACCCCGGUUGUCCUACAAUUUCAUGUGUCAUAGGAGAAACUUUUGUGGAUAAGGCGUUACUUGAUUUAGGGGCUAGUGUUAAUCUCCUUCCAUAUUCUGUCUACCAAGCCUUAGGUUUAGGGGAGCUCCGACAAACCAAUGUCACACUUCAAUUAGCCGAUCGAUCCGUGAAAAUUCCUAAGGGAAUGAUCGAGGAUGUGCUAAUUAAAGUAGGUGAUUUCGUGUUUCCCGUAGAUUUUGUCGUCCUAGAGACCGAGCCGGUUAGGAACCCUAAGAAUCAAAUUCCCAUUAUCCUAGGACGACCCUUUUUAGCUACAUCCAACGCGUUGAUUAAUUGUAGGAACGGCUUAAUGAAGCUAACAUUUGGCAACAUGACAAUCGACCUCAACAUCUUUCAUGUGGGGAAACAAUCCGAUGAUUUCUAUGAUCAACCUAUGGACGUUAAUCUAAUUGAUGAAAUAGUUGAUCAAGAUCUCAUGAAUCCUAAAGAUGCCCUUGAAUUUUGCUUAAAACAUUUUGGAGAGGAUUGGGAUGUUUCCGACUACACACAUGAGGUCAACCAAAUGUUAGAAUCCACCAUUCCUACAACAAGUCAAGAGCGUGAUGUUGAACCCGAGCAUUUGCCUUUACCUAAGAAAACCGUUGAGUCACAACCGCCGGAAGUAGAACUCAAACCUCUUCCCGACACUCUUAAGUAUGCUUUUCUAGGCCCUAACGAGUCUUAUCCCGUUAUCAUUGCCUCUAAUUUGACUACGUCACAAGAGGAAGAACUUUUAGGAAUCCUUAGAAAGCAUAAGGGAGCCAUAGGGUGGAGCAUUUCGGACAUUAAAGGAAUUAGCCCGGCGAUUGUCCAACAUAGGAUUCAUUUGGUAGAAGAUGCAAAGCCCGUGAGAGAACCUCAAAGGAGGUUGAAUCCUCCCAUGAUGGAGGUAGUUAAGAAAGAAAUUCUUAAGUGCUUAGACAAUGGGAUCAUUUAUCCCAUUUCCGAUAGUAAGUGGGUGAGUCCCGUCCAUGUAGUGCCUAAGAAGUCGGGCAUUACUUUGGUGACCAAUGAGAACAAUGAGCAAGUUCCAACCCGUGUCCAAUCCGGUUGGAGAAUGUGCAUAGACUUUAGGAAGCUCAAUGCCGUCACUAGGAAAGAUCAUUUUCCUUUGCCUUUUAUCGAUCAAAUGCUAGAGAGGUUAGCGGGUCAUGCGUUUUAUUGCUUCUUAGAUGGUUACUCGGGAUAUUUUCAAAUCCCGAUUGCACCCGAAGACCAAGAAAAGACCACUUUCACUUGCCCUUUUGGAACCUUCGCUUAUAGACGUCUAGCUUUCGGCCUAACCACGGGCCCGUCCACGUUCCAAAGGUGCAUGACUAGCAUCUUCUCGGAAAUGAUAGGUGACUUUCUAGAAGUCUUCAUAGAUGACUUUUCCAUCUUUGGACCAUCUUUUCACCAAUGCCUUAACAAUCUAGAUCGAGUGUUGAAAAGAUGUGAGGAAACGGAUCUAGUGUUAAAUUGGGAGAAAUGUCAUUUCAUGGUUAAGGAGGGAAUCGUUUUAGGACACAAAAUUUCUGAAAAAGGAAUCGAAGUAGACAAGGCUAAGGUCGACCUAAUAGCUAAUCUCCCACCUCUCAAGUCCGUUAAGGAAAUUCGUUCUUUCCUUGGACAUGCGGGAUUUUAUCGUAGAUUCAUCCAAGUUUUUAGCAAAAAGGCUCGACCUUUGACCAACCUUUUAGCUAAGGAUGUCAAAUUCGAGUUCACAAGCGAGUGUUUUCAUUCUUUCGAAGACCUUAAAAGGGAAUUGACUUCGGCCCCGAUCAUGAAGUCUCCCGAUUGGAGUCAACCUUUUGAGCUUAUGUGUGACGCAUCCGAUUAUGCGAUAGGAGCGGUUUUAGGACAACGAAUAGAUAAGAGGCCUCAUGUCAUUUACUACGCUAGUAAGACCUUAAAUGAUGCCCAACUCAAUUACUCUACCACCGAGAAGGAGCUUCUAGCCGUAGUCUUUGCCUUAGAAAAAUUUCGCUCUUAUCUUAUCGGGUCCAAAAUCAUUGUUUACACCGACCAUGCCGCUCUUAAGUACCUUUUAUCUAAAAAAGACUCAAAAGCCCGCUUGAUUAGAUGGGUGUUGUUGCUCCAAGAGUUUGACUUAGAGAUUAGGGAUAAGAAAGGUUGUGAGAAUGUUGUUGCCGAUCAUCUCUCUCGAUUAGUGGUUGAAUCCACUAACGACUUGCCCUUAAGCGAGUCAUUUCCCGAUGAUCACCUUCUCUCAAUUUCCACUCUCCCUUGGUUCGCCGACAUAGUCAAUUACUUAGCAACCGGUGACAUUCCCUCGACAUGGUCCAAGAAUGAUAAAGCCAAGUUCUUUUCUCAAGUGAAACAUUUCUUUUGGGACGACCCGUAUCUCUUUAAACAUUGUCCCGAUCAAAUCAUUAGGAGGUGUGUCCCAAAUAGUGAGUUUCAUAGCAUCCUCUCGUUUUCUCACGAUCAAGCAUGUGGAGGUCAUUUUAGUGCGAAAAAGACCGCCGCUAAAAUCCUCCAAUGCGGUUUUUAUUGGCCUAGUUUGUUUAAGGAUGCCGCCGAGUAUUGUUCCGCAUGUAGUAGGUGUCAACAUCUGGGAAGAAUCACUAGGCGAAACAUGAUGCCUAUGAGCCCAAUCCUUGUUGUUGAACUUUUUGAUGUGUGGGGCAUAGAUUUCAUGGGUCCAUUUCCUAAUUCAUUUGGCCACCUUUACAUACUUCUCGCGGUUGAUUACGUUUCUAAGUGGGUAGAAGCCAUUCCGACCCGGUCCAAUGACAAUAAAGUUGUCAUUCGAUUCCUUAAAGAAAAUAUCUUUUCUCGAUUUGGAACACCUAGGGCUAUCAUUAGUGACCAAGGGACACAUUUUAAGAACCGUCAUUUCGAGUCACUUCUUAAGAAGUACCGCAUCACUCAUAGCUUAGCUACCCCUUACCAUCCUUNNNNNNNNNNNNNNNNNNNNNNNNNNNNNNNNNNNNNNNNNNNNNNNNNNNNNNNNNNNNNNNNNNNNNNNNNNNNNNNNNNNNNNNNNNNNNNNNNNNNNNNNNNNNNNNNNNNNNNNNNNNNNNNNNNNNNNNNNNNNNNNNNNNNNNNNNNNNNNNNNNNNNNNNNNNNNNNNNNNNNNNNNNNNNNNNNNNNNNNNNNNNNNNNNNNNNNNNNNNNNNNNNNNNNNNNNNNNNNNNNNNNNNNNNNNNNNNNNNNNNNNNNNNNNNNNNNNNNNNNNNNNNNNNNNNNNNNNNNNNNNNNNNNNNNNNNNNNNNNNNNNNNNNNNNNNNNNNNNNNNNNNNNNNNNNNNNNNNNNNNNNNNNNNNNNNNNNNNNNNNNNNNNNNNNNNNNNNGUCCUAGUAGGGGUGAGCAAUGGUCACAUGCUAGAGAAAGUCUUUGUGCCUAAAAAUUUUCGUACACAUUUUGACUCUUUCUCGAAGCUUCCUCCCAUAUUUCCUUCCGGAAUCGGCUGAAGUGGUUCCUCCUUCGAACCUUCCCUCGUGAAAUUCAGGUAUGGGGAAGGAAAUGUGUGAGUGUGUGGGUCGUGUUAGUGCUUCGUUCGUUAAUAAAAACCCCCUUCAUCCCCUAUUCAGGUAUUUUUCCUCUUUACUCUCUAAUUUCAAUUCUUUCUUUUGCAUACAUUGAGGACAAUGCAUGAUUUAGGUAUGGGGAGGGCUUUAGUGUAAUUCUUAAAAAAUGAAAAUCCCUAAAAAAUAAAAAAAUUAGAAAAUCCAAAAACAGAGAUUCUUUUAGCUAAGUUGUCUUUCCCUCACUCGAACUUUAGGAGUAGUUGGUGUUUAGCAUGUUUUUGAAAAGUAUAUAUAUGUAGUGUCUUUUAGAUAAUUUGAACGUAGUUGAGUAAGGUUGUCUUUUUGAAACUUGUAUCGACCGAUUUGUACUCGUAGUUCCAAGAUGGCACACACAUUUGCACAAGACCUUUGAUGGAGAGAUUGUCUAGUGAUAUUAUUCGAUACCUGAGAGAGAACCCACAUGUUGAAACAAUGUCGAAUCGAACCUUUGCGAAUAAAAAAAAAGAAAAUAGCAAAAAAAAAAGAUAGAAAAAGAAAAGGAAUAACUACUUCAAUACCCAUUGUUCUUUAUAGAUUUAAUCUUUAGAUAAAUGGGCAAAAGUAGAUUGACUAGUCUCGUUUUGUGGCCUUUGUUACUCGAGCAAUUAAGUCCGUAGGGGGAUUUCAAAACCUAGUGCCCUAAGACCGUUUGGUUUGGGAGUCACUGACCCAAAGCUCGCUACAUGGGUAACAUUGUUUGCCUAAGAAAACGGACAAAAUAAAGUCAAUGCAAAAAAAAAGAAGAAUAAGAGUUUGUGAAGUUUGGCUAGAUAUUUGUUUCGAUAGAGAUUGGGUCAGUUCAAAAUUGGUUGAAAAAGAGAAAAUGUUCAUAGACAAUUAGGAUCCAUCAAAGGCCUUAAAUUACUUACACUCCUUGGAUUUCUAGUAAAUCUUUGUGUCGAUUCAAGUAGAUUAGAGACGACUGUAUCUUAAUUAUUAGUAGAAGAGUCUUUGAGUCGUAUUUUCCUUAAAAACACUUUUUGUUAACACCAACGAAAUUGGAGUAGAGUCGAGUAUACACUUGCUAGAAGGUCUCGAAGAUUUUAUGGGUAUAUCUUCUGUAAACCCUUAGGAGACAAAACUCCUCUUGUAGAGAUCGUCUACGAGUUUAACGGGUUGGUGAACCUAAAAUCACCCGUCACGCCUACGAAAAGGAGCCUAGGAACCGCAUCUAGUUUUCUUAGUUUAUUUUCUUUUCUUUUUGAUUUUUACUCGAGGACGAGCAAAAGAUAGGUAUGGGGAAGUUUGAUUAGUCCAUAUUUUUGCAUAUUUAAGUGCCUAUUUUUUGUUUAUUUUCGUAGUAUUAAUCGCUUAUUUAUUUUAUUUCAGGAAAUUGUAGAUAAAUAAAGGAAGAAGAGAAAAUGCAAGAAAAAGAAGAAAAGGAAAAAAAAAAAAAAGAGUUGGCAACUAAGGGACACAUGGAGGGCCACAAUCUUCCCAACGAACAAGGCACAUGGAUGGUCAAGAUUGAGCCACCCUACCCCUAAACCCUAAUUCUUUAGUUAUAAAUACCCCCUUCUCUUUACUUGUAAAGAACCAACCUAGCUACCCACCUAUCUUUUUCUACCUAGUCAUUUCUAUAGUUAGUAUCUUAGAUAGAUUUACAUUUUGCUAGCCCCAAUUUUCUUUCCAAGCUUGUAUACACUUUUUAAUUUCUAUGCAAAUCUCUUUUAGCUUAAUCUUGUAUUGUCUUUUUAAUUUAUUUUCUCCAAGUUGUAUGAUUUUUUUAAGUACCACCACAUGCUUUUUAAGCUUUUGGGAAAUGAAGGAUCAUUAAGCUUGUGAUUAGUAUAGAUUUGUGAUCUUUUGCAAUAGUAAAUUAAAUCCUAGCACAAAAUUAAUUUGUGUUAGGGUUUAGAUUUAGAACCCCAAAAUUAUCAUAUUUAUAAUUUUAAGUGCUAGUAGUAAAAAUUUAAAAUAGACAGCUUGUUUUAUGUUUACACUUACUAAUUUGCUUUCGUCUUUAUUUCUUAAAACACAAAACCCAUUUACCCUGUUUUCGUUUGUUUGCUACUGAGUCCAAAUCACCGAGUCAGUCCCUGUUUUCGUCAAUUCGCUGAGUCUAUAGUUCAUUGUUUUGUGUGUUUAAUUUCUCUGGGUUCGUCUUUCUUGCUGUGAUUCAUUUUGCUAUCUACGAGUUCAAGCUGCCGAGUUGCUUGCGGAGUCUCGUCUUAGUUUGUGUCUUGUAGUUUUGUUAGAGUUCGAUAGCUGAGUUGUAGCUUUCCGUACCGAGUUAUAGCUGAGUGCGUUGUUAGAUUUGUCUACUGCUUGUUUGCUGUUUCAUUUGCAAGGUUCCAGUCCAUUUUUCGUACGAGUCGUUACCUUGAGUUCCUGUUUCGUCUGAUGGCUGAUUUCUUUUUUUUUUGCUGUUAGUUUGAACAGAGUCGCGUUCUUAUUGUUACUGGGUGUUUUUGGUGUUUGCCGAGUCUUAAUCGAGUCCACCGAGUCGCAUAUAUUGCUCUGUUCUGAGUUUUUUUUUCCGAGUUAGCUGAGUCCAAAAAAAACGUCUUUCCGAGUUGGGGUCGAGUUUGUUUUUCUGCACUGAGUCAUGCCGAGUCGUGUUCUGGGUUUUGUAUGCUUUCCGAGUCCUGGCUGAGUUAACCACUGAGUUUAGAUUCUGGGUUUCAUUUUGUUAGUUGAAUUUGUAUGCUGGGUUUAGUUCGGAGUUGAUAGCUUAGAGUCCAGUCUGUUAGGUACUGUGUGUUGCUGCGUUUUAAGUUUACUGGGUUUAAUCAAUCUAAGUUCAUCAAGUCGUCUUCUCUGUUUUGCUUGCGGAGUUUAUCGAGUUUUGCCUGCUAGUUUCUGAGUUUAUUGUUUCAUUUUAGCUGAGUCAUUUCCCUGUUCUUUGAAUCACCGAGUUGAGCCGUUGUUGAGUUUGUGUAUUGUUGGCUGCUGAUUUCGUUUUAGUUUAGCCAAGUCCGUUCCUGUUUCUCCGAGUUAGUCACCUGUUAGUUUACUUUGUUUAGUCACGAAUAUGAGUCGCUGGUUUGUUUUUAAUCGAGUUAGAGUUUUUGAUUUUGAAUGCUUAAUUGGUUGGAAUUAUGGCUGAGUUUAAAGUUCUGUUUUGAUUUGAAGUCACAAUCGAGUCAUGUGUUGAAGAGUCCUGCAGGUUUUGGUUUUAUGUUUUCAUUUUGUUCACCUUUCUGUUUCGAGUUUAGUCGAGAUUUGCUUAUCUUUUUGAUAAAUUUGAUUGCUUGCGUUUUUUAUUUAACCAUGUCAUCAAGUCAAAGCCCCUUUCCCUGGUUUUGUGUUCUAAUAAAUCAAUUAGUCUUGUUUUAAUUAUUUGGCUUCAAUAAUUUUCUAGACACAAUUUAACUAGUUAAGUGAUAAUCAAGUAGCUUAAUUAAUUUUCUUUCUAGAAUUGGCAAUUUUAGAUUUAAAUUUGAAAACUCUCUUUCACAAAUUUCUUUGUUCUAAUUCGCCUAGAUUAAGAAUUUAAGGUUGCGAAAAUAAUUAAAUUUGAUCCCUGUGGACGAAUCUUAAAUAUUAAAACGGUGAUCGUGCGCUUGCGAUUUAAAAGGUAAUAUCUUCUAGCACAUCAGCGGGCCAGGGUUAACCUGGGCUUCUUGCUUGUACGGCCUUCGGCUGAAGACCCCGCCUCCGUAGUCUUGGAGGGGUCCCGCUUGCGACCCCCAGAGGAGGCGGCUUCCCCGAAGAAGUCCUCAUACUUGGUGGAGCGCUUGACAAAUCUGGGAAUGUUGGCAGCCAUAUCUGUGGAAAGAAACAAGGAGAAACAAUUAGAUACUAUCCAAGCAUAUACAGAAAUAUGGGAGGAUGUAAGCAUAGCAGGUGGCAUAAAAGUUAUAAAGCAUGCAGGAAGGAAAUUUAUAAAGCGAAUAUCAUAUAAGGAAAAUAAGCUCAAGGGUGCAAGCUAAGAGGAAACCUGGGCUUCCCGUCGCCUCCACAUCUGCACCCCCCUCGUCAACGGGGGAUGCAUCUACCACCGUAGUGGAAAAACCGAGCCUCUCCAGAUUCUCUGGAGUAAGCAGGCUGGAGCCAUCACCUAGCUCGGUGGAUAGCCUCAACACGUGUUUGGCCCUCUCAAGGGACUCUCCCGCCAAAGGGGUCUGCACUGGCAUGUCUACAACAAAUACAAGCAUAAGGAAACUAAACGGGAACCCUAAAGGGCUAAACUAGACAAUGAACAAGGGGAAAACUGGCUUACUGGGGGAGAGAUUGAAGUCCUUUCUGUAGACUGGGCAGUCGUAGCAGUAAAGGAAGAGCUUCUGCCAGUCUGACAUCGACUGGCGGUUACCCUUGAUGCCCUUCUUGUGAUGGGUGUUCCAGGCAGUGAGAUAGAAGAAUCCGGGGGUCCUCCCAGUAAGUUUCAGCUGGAAGAACCAACCCAACUCCAAGGCAGACAUCCUCACCCCAUGGUGAAUAUCAUAGAGGAUGUAGAGACAGACCGCCAUGCGGUAGGAGUUGGGGGUAAGCUGCAUGGGGGAGACCUCAUAGAAGUCCAAGACCUCCAGAAUGAAAGGAUGGAGGGGGAGAGACAAGCCCAGCCUGAAGAACUGGGCGGAAAGCACGGCUUUGGGGUAGCCAGUGCCCGGCUUGAGGGUGUCGAAGCGGUGACACCUCUCUCCUGGUUUCGGGAUCCCCAGGGUGCAGCCAGGGUUGCAGGACUCCAAGAGGGACUGCAGCCUCGCAGGAGUCAUGAUGGAGUCCAUGUGCUCGCAAGACAGGACUACAGCUGGAGGCUCGAUCACCUCCACGGAAGCCUCAGCCUCCCGUUCAGCCUCCUCGGGGCUCCCCUCAAGGGCUUCAGCAGCAGGGUCCAGCGGGAGGCCCGGGGUCAUAUCCGCCUGGCUGGACUCAGAGGUGGUCCAGUUGAGCUCCUUCACCACUAAGCUGCGCCUGGAGCGGGUCCUGGAGCUAACCCCCAAACUCGGCUGAGCAGGCUGAAAGUCCAGGCUAGGAGAGGAUCCCGCGUCAACUACGACAACGGGAGCCUUGCUUGUGGCAGACUGAGAAGAGUGUGAGGACAUGGAUCCUUGAAACAUCUACAAGAGGAAAGGAUGGUUUAACGAAAGGACACAGCAAGAUGUGAAGAGGUCGAAAGAAAGAAAAACAAAAAGGGAGAAGGAGAAAGGGUUUGCGGAAGACUGGGCUGCAAAGGUGGAGCCCUACGGGUGCGAAGAAGGAAUGAAAAGGCUUCAGUUGGAGCCCUGAAGUGUAAGGGGACUACAUCCCUCACAGGAAGCAGCACAGGCCACGGAGGACGGUUCAUCUUCUUCGGGAAGCCCAACAAGGGACCCGGAGCGGGAAGCCUAAUCCUAGCCCUAACCUCAACCACAACAAUCAUGCCCAAUCGCAAUCCUAAGCUACCAGCUAAGCAAGUACAGCAAGCAAAUCACACAGACAAUGCAUUCAAAGCAGAUAAAGGGCACGAAAAGGGGGUUCGAUUGUAAAAGAGGGGUUCCCCCAGAAGGCAAUUGGGAACCUAGGGUUUACAAUCUAGGGCUACGAUCAUGGCCUCAAAGCAAUGCAACAACACCAAGGACGAUAACCCGGUUGGGAAACAAUCUGGGCCUAAUUGGAGUCAAUUAAAACCAGUGGUGUGUGUACAUUCAAAGAAUUAGUGUGUGCAUUCGAUUAUACAAGCAUGCAGAACAAAUUAGCAGUUUAAUCGGGCAUAAUGACAUCAAGCAAGGCGAAGGUGGGUGUGUGCACGCAUACCGAGGUGAACGAUUGAAAAGCAGAAAAGAGACAAACAGGCAUGGAUCAUAUGAACAUUUAGUUGCAGACAUGGCGAAAAUGCAAUAAAAAAAACGAAGACGAAAGUAAGGGGGCAUACCUUUGGUUGGAAGUCGGUGAGUGUCAGAGAAGAAAACGCCGGAGAAGGAGAGCAAGUUGCGCCUGGGAGUGCUUCGGUGGGAAGAGACAGUGUGAAGUGAAGUGUUUAAGAGAUAAAAAGAAAAGUGGAACAAGGCUGUGUGUAGGUGUAUAUAUAGCACUGAGAAGUGGGGAACAGCUACGCCAGGUGGCGUGCCGUGACUAGCCUGGCGUGUGGUUGGCUUUGAUGGUGCAGGCUUCCCGAGGCCUAGGUGGGUGGCUGAAGAGGUAGAGGCAUGCUAGGACUCUACGGCUGCACCACCUAUUUAGGGGAUUUUCUGUUACAAUUCAAAUCAAUUGAAAAGGUGGAGCAAAAAUUGCGGAAGCUCGAAAUAUUUGGGAUUAGCCUUAUCACAAGCUGACGUGACACGCGCGGGAAACUGAAAAGGUGGAGCAAAAAUUGCGGAAGCUCGAGCAGAUUUUUGGAAGAUAAUUUUAGUUAUUUUGGGAAUAAAUAUUCAAGGCUUGCGGUGGUUAUAGUGGAUUAAUCCAAUUGGUUUUAUAAUUACAUGUGGAAGUGUAUCUGAAUUAUUUCUUGUUUUUUUACACCGGGCUGCGCCCACGUAAGCUUAGAAAUAAUUUACGAUUAACCUCUAACGUAACUCAAGGGCUUACAGCUAGAUGACGGAGGGUUACCGUUUUUAAGUUCCUCUCGCAUUUAAUACUUCAAGGAACCGGGGGUAGUUAUUGUGCCAUAAAAUCUUCCUGGGCUUAUUUUAUAGCCCGUCAUAUUAUUUGGGCUUCAUUUGGGCUUAUUGGAAUCAUUCGGUUAAGGAUAAUGGGCUUCACCAUGGCUGGGUGAAUCAUUGAAGGUGUACAAGAAGGUAUAUGGACCUGCAUUGGAAGCACAAUGAAGACUGCCAUCAGAACGGGGUUGCACCUGAAGGCGCUUUAGGGGUUACCGCUGCUAGGGGUUACCACUAAGUGUAUCCUGGCUUGCAGUUACGGGGCUGCAGUUAGGGGAUGCAGCUGGCAGGGCUUCCGCCGCCUGGGCAGAACGGCAGGCAGACUCCAAACAGGACUCUUCUUCCUUGUUUCUAGGAGGACGAAUUAGAAGUAUAUUGGGAGUAUAUCAGCUGCUAUUUAUCUACAAAUUAAGGGAUAAAUACAUCUAUUAUAGAGAUAAUUACCAUGGGUGGAGAUAAUUCAAGAAUAUUAGGAUAAUUAUGCAAGAUGAAAGCUUCAUGUGACCUACUUGGAGUGGGAUACCGCUGGAUAACUACUGAAAGAAGGCUGUUUUAUCUCAAACUAGAGGGGAUAAGAGCUUAUCUCUUCAGAGUCCUAAAUCGAGAACUACAUAGAAUAUAGGGUAUGUAGGCACCUUGCAAAGGGACUUGGAUCAUUUUCACGAGUUCUACACUCUAAAGAGAGGCACGUGUAACAUUUGUGACAAAUAUUUCCGGGCAAUUGCAGGACGAAAUUCCAUAAUUCCGGCCUCGUUGUUUGGUUCUUUGCAAGCUCAGCCCUUAAACACACUUGUUUCUCAUUUGUUUUUCUUAGUUUAUGUUAAUGGUAGCCCCUAAGAGCUAGCCGUGAUUUUUGUAGUUGUAAUAGAUAUCCCUAUAAUUGUGCUAUACGGUUCUGGGGGUGUUGUAUCAAUUACUCUCACAACACACGAUUAAUUGACAUUCAUUGUAGCUAGCAAAGAAACCUAAUUUUUGGAUUGCUUUUUUACCAUCGUUAAUUCAUCUUUUUACUUGCUUAUUAGUUUAAUUUAGUUGAUAGUAAAAAACCACAAUUAUUCUCUAAACUUCUAAAUAGAAAGGAGUAAUAUACUUGAUUUGAUAUUGUAUUCAGUCCUUCCCUGAGAACGAACUUAACAUAAUUUCACUGCAACAAAUUGGCGCCGCUGCCGGAGAAGGCAGUAAUAUUAAGUUUAGGUUAAUUAUUUCUUAUUGUUUAGAUUUUAUAAUAUUUGUUUCCAAGAUCUAUCUCAUUGGUGUUUCAUUCCAGGUACACCUUAUAUAUGCGAAGAUCGAAAAGUGUUGGAAAUUUUGAUCCAGAUCCAGAAAUUGAACGCACUUUUCGAAUUAGAAGGCAAGAAGCAAGGAGAAAGCAAUAGGAGGCCAGGAUGGGUGAUAACAAUAAUGAAAACGAAAAUCUCCAUGUUAUUGUUCCUGAUGAGUCAUCCAUUCCGGAUCAUGAGACUCCUAAUCCUGCUAAUUGCAUGUACAAGACUCCGGCGAUUGGUGCAACUCAGUAUAACAUCAAUCCCAGUCUUAUUCAGAUGGUGAGCAAUUCUGCUUUUAAAGGAGACAUUGAGCGAGAGGAUCCACACCGCCAUCUAGAGCGCUUCGUGCAAAUGUGUUGUUCUUUCAGAAUCAAUGGGGUUACUGCUGAUGAAAUUCGUCUUCAUAUGUUCCCUUAUUCUAUAAAGGGAAAAGCUUUGGAAUGGUUUCAACAGCUUUCAGAUACUACUCUAGCUACUUGGGAUAAUCUUUCUACUGAGUUCUUAUCCAAAUAUUAUCCUUCUGACAAGACUCAGCAAAUGAGAGCAAUUAUUCUUACUUUCAAAGCACAACCAGGUGAAGGCUUGUAUCAGGCAUGGGAGAGAUAUAAGGCAUUGUUGAGAAAAUGUCCACAUCAUGGUUACGAGGAGUGGAUGGUUCUGAGCACUUUGUAUGGAGCUCUAAAUUCUGAUAUUCGGCUCACGAUGGUCUGGACCGUUUGAAAUUGUUAAAGUGUAUCCGUAUGGUACUGUGGCAAUUACUCGAGAGGGGUCUGAUAUUUUUAAGGUGAAUGGUCAUAGUCUCAAACCAUAUUUGAUUGGAGAAAAGUUACAAGGGGAGAUUAUUAUCUUCUCACCGAUCCUAAAACUUAAUCCGGAACAGGCGUCCGGCUAAAUGACGUUAAAGACAGCGCUCUUUGAGAGGCAACUCAAAAUUUUUGUAAGAUUAUUAUGUAUAAGUUUUUAGUUAUUUAUUUAUAUUAUAUUAUAUUAUUAUAGAUUUUCUAUGUAAAACAAAAAAAACAAACAAAAAUAUAUAUUAUGUGUUAGUUUUACUCCCAAAAGAUGUUUUGAUUUUGUGUGAAGUUUUGUACAGGAAACAGGGCAAAUGAUUAUGAAUUAUGGGCUAUCGCGGAGGAAUAGAGCAGGGUGUUAAAGAAAAAAAAACAGAGCAGGCGCAUCGAGACAGUGGGUGAGAUUGGCCGAAUCAUAAAAUAAAGCCGCCGGUAUUGACCUACUGGAGCUCACGUCCUUUUUCCACCCAAUCAAGCCUGCCAACUUUAUUCACCAGAUUGGCUGUUUUGUAUCACUGCCAAAGGCUAUGUGUACCUGUACACUUGUGGCGUUAAUUUUGUUUUUUGUUUUUUUUUUGUUUUUGUUUUUUGUUUUGUUUUUGUUUUUUGUUUUUUGUUUUUUGUUUUAUUUUGUUUUUGUUUUUGUUUUUUUAUUAUUUUCUAUAUAUAUAAUUAGUAUAGUUAUUAUAUAUUUUGUAAAAAUAUAGGAUAUACUAUUAGCUAUAAUUAUAUUUAGUUUAUUAUUAUUACGAUUAUUAUAUUAAAUUUUUUUCUUUGAAAAUUAUUAUUAUUAUUAUACUUUAUUAUUAUUAUUAUUAUUAUUAUUAUUAUUAUUAUUAUUAUUAUUAUUAUUUAUUAUUAUUAUUUUUAUUAUGAUUAUUACUAUUAUUAUUAUAUUAAUUAAUUGUAUUAUAUAGGUGUUUAGUACUAACCUAGCUCGGCUGCUUGUGUUCGUGCAAAGUAUAAUCUGAAUUGGUUUGUGUUUAUGGUGCAGGUUGUUGUCCAUAUAUGUACACAUAAUCGGAUCAUAUGCUCUAUCUAAUCAGUAGCCUACAGCUGUUUCUUGGCAAUAAAAUUCUUGUGUUUUACAUGUUUGCGACGUUGGUGUCUUAAGACCUGCUCUGUACACCCCUAUUUCUCUUCUUAGUUUGUCGUUCCCUUAACAAAAAUUGUGGCAAUUCAGAAAACGACCAACUUUGAGAUUAUCAACGCAUCGCUGUCAUGGCUCGCGGAUCAUCAACCCAACUGCUAGCUGCAAAGAAGCGCAUGAAAGACGUUGUCAGCCCAACUGACAAACUCCGUGUUACUGCAGGAAUAGAGAAGCAACACAAAUCACGUGCCACUCAAUCUAAAACUCACAGAUAUCCCACUAUUAAAUUUAGUGGCCCAGAUCAACAAGCUCUUUAUGAUGUGUUGUCUACACGCACGGUGUUACCAAAUAAAUAUGUUGAUUCAUCAGCUUUGGAAGUGUUGGGAAUAAACGAUGAACUCAUUAAAGCACUGCAAGAUAUUGGUUGGAGUGAUCUCAUGAGUAUGGAUGAUCCUUCCUACGCGAAACUUACAUAUGAAUUUUUGAGUUCCUUCACUGUUAUUACUGAUGAUACAUUGUCAUUCCGGAUAGCUAAUGUGCAACAUGAAAUCACAAAAUCUGCUUUGGCUGAUAUGUUUGGUUGGCAAUUGGUUGAGUCACAACCGCUGCCCGAAGGAUAUGCUACUCCAUUCUGGCAAGCACUCACUAGCUCGCCGAAGAGUGCAAGUUAUGGAACUCAAUCGGCUUUAUCUUCAGAAAAUUGUAAGUUGUUUUUAUCGCUAUUUUGCUCGUCUCAUGUCCUACACUAUAUAUGGUCGUACAGAGAGUAAUAACAAGAUCCAAACUGGUGAGCUGGCUCUGUUAUAUCACGAUCUAAUCGACAACUAGUGCAUUAGACCAACUUGCUAAUUAGCAUAUUCUUAUAUCAAGCCAAGCGAGCUACAGGUGCUAUUGUCCUUCCUAGGAGGUCUUGUAACCAGGAUUGCUGAGAGGUUGGGUGUAUUUAAUCGCACUACCACCAAUUUACCGAUGGUAGAAGGAUGGCCCACUACUAUCAAUGUCGAUUUGAUUGGUAUGCACGUAUUGCGUCGACAUAACCUCUUAGGGCUGCGUAAAGUGGAUCACAAGCGUGGUUCAAUACGGAGGGAGGAUCAUGAUAUAGAGCCAGAUAAAAAAAUACUCUCAAGGACCAGGUUGCAGUGUUGCAGAGACAACUGGAGAGGAUGGAGAAAAAAAUGGGAGACAUGUUUUCCUAUAUGCAGAGGCACCUUCCACAUCAUACACCUUGAUUUUGAGGGGGGUUUUCUUUCUUAGCUUUUUUGAGUAAUUCUUUUGUCAUUGAGGACAUUGACCCAUUCAAGUGUGGGGAUGUGUUCUCACGAAUAAUAAUAUUAUAUAUAAAAAAUUGGAAAAAUUGCAUAUUGCCUUGUCUUAAAUUUAGGAUAGUCAUGAUACUUGCAUUUAAAUUAGAGCAUAUAGUUAUUUAAUUUGGCAUGCAUUUUUUUUUAGUAGAUUUUUAUUUUUAUUAAUUUUUUUAUAGUUUGCAUUUUCAUAGUUCCAUGAAAGUUUGUCAACCAAGUCAAUUUCCUAUGAUGAGUUUAUUUGCAUAAUUUCUUGGCUAGUAAUCUUGAUCAUAUGUGAUGUCUUGUAUGUUUGAAAAUUGUUUGUGCGGAACUUGUAAUUACACAAUAACUGUUCUAGAGGCGAGAUUUAGACUAGCUUAUUUCUUGAGUCUUAACUAUGAGCCGGGCGUAGAAUUUUGACUAUUCCCUUUUGAGCUUGGAGUCUAUAAUUCUUAAGUGAGGGGGAGCUUUGGGAUAUACAUGCCUUUCAAAAAAAAAAGAGAAAAAAAUACAUGCAUUAGUAAUAAAGUUCACAAAAAAAAUGGUUUUAUAAUUGACUAGGUUGGGCUCAUUAAUACUCGAGUAAUUAAGUCUGAGGGGACUUUGUGCCUAGUAACCUAAAGGCUUUCAUGGUUUGGGAUUAUUGACCCAACACUCGCUAAAUGAGUAUUAGUGUAUAAAUCUUUAGGGAUCUCAACCAUUGCACGGUCAAAUAAACCACCUAUAUAGCAUAUGUGAACAAUUUGGUUGGUGAAGUCUUAUGGUGGUCGUAACUCACUUACCCUGGGAAGCGUCCCGGCCUUAGACUGAGCAUGUACACACCAAAUAAUAGAGAUUAUGAAAAGAAAACAUAUAUAGGAGAGGGAUGGAAGUUCCUUGGUGACCCUAAACUGUAGUUGGCUCUAAUGUAACGAAGUGUGUAAGCAUUAUUCUGAUUAACGACUCAUGGUUAAGAUUCUGUCGAAGUUUGUUGGUCUCUAUUUUGUUUCACUAGAGAGCAUGUUGAUCACACACGAUGCACUCCGUACUUGCAGUGGAAGAGUUGCAUGACUAAUAUGUGAGCUAGAUGAAUUUCUUGAUUGUUGCAAAUUCUGAGGAUUAUAUAUUGACAAGGUUGACACUUUCAUGAUCAGAAUCUAUGCAUAUUCAUUUAGUUUGCAUUCAUAUUAGUUGCAUUCUUAAGACUUGGCAGAAAAAAAAUGAAUUUUGUGGGUACAUUCACUAUAGGCCCUCACGAGACCUCACUCGUCCACUAGGGCUGCCUAGGGGUUUAAAGGGCUUGUUGCAUAUGCCAAAUGCAACCGUGAUCACCUACGGAAGUGGUAUAUAUCUAUUAGGUGUUAGUCACGAUCUAAUCGACAACUAGUGCAUUAGACCAACUUGCUAAUUAGCAUAUUCUUAUAUCAAGCCAAGCGAGCUACAGGUGCUAUUGUCCUUCCUAGGAGGUCUUGUAACCAGGAUUGCUGAGAGGUUGGGUGUAUUUAAUCGCACUACCACCAAUUUACCGAUGGUAGAAGGAUGGCCCACUACUAUCAAUGUCGAUUUGAUUGGUAUGCACGUAUUGCGUCGACAUAACCUCUUAGGGCUGCGUAAAGUGGAUCACAAGCGUGGUUCAAUACGGAGGGAGGAUCAUGAUAUAGAGCCAGAAAAAAAAAUACUCUCAAGGACCAGGUUGCAGUGUUGCAGAGACAACUGGAGAGGAUGGAGAAACAAAUGGGAGACAUGUUUUCCUAUAUGCAGAGGCACCUUCCACAUCAUACACCUUGAUUUUGAGGGGAGUUUUCUUUCUUAGCUUUUUAGAGUAAUUCUUGUGUCAUUGAGGACAUUGACCCAUUCAAGUGUGGGGAUGUGUUCUCACGAAUAAUAAUAUUAUAUAUAAAAAAUUGGAAAAAUUGCAUAUUGCCUUGUCUUAAAUUUAGGAUAGUCAUGAUACUUGCAUUUAAAUUAGAGCAUAUAGUUAUUUAAUUUGGCAUGCAUUUUUUUUUAGUAGAUUUUUAUUUUUAUUAAUUUUUUUAUAGUUUGCAUUUUCAUAGUUCCAUGAAAGUUUGUCAACCAAGUCAAUUUCCUAUGAUGAGUUUAUUUGCAUAAUUUCUUGGCUAGUAAUCUUGAUCAUAUGUGAUGUCUUGUAUGUUUGAAAAUUGUUUGUGCGGAACUUGUAAUUACACAAUAACUGUUCUAGAGGCGAGAUUUAGACUAGCUUAUUUCUUGAGUCUUAACUAUGAGCCGGGCGUAGAAUUUUGACUAUUCCCUUUUGAGCUUGGAGUCUAUAAUUCUUAAGUGAGGGGGAGCUUUGGGAUAUACAUGCCUUUCAAAAAAAAAAGAGAAAAAAAUACAUGCAUUAGUAAUAAAGUUCACAAAAAAAAUGGUUUUAUAAUUGACUAGGUUGGGCUCAUUAAUACUCGAGUAAUUAAGUCUGAGGGGACUUUGUGCCUAGUAACCUAAAGGCUUUCAUGGUUUGGGAUUAUUGACCCAACACUCGCUAAAUGAGUAUUAGUGUAUAAAUCUUUAGGGAUCUCAACCAUUGCACGGUCAAAUAAACCACCUAUAUAGCAUAUGUGAACAAUUUGGUUGGUGAAGUCUUAUGGUGGUCGUAACUCACUUACCCUGGGAAGCGUCCCGGCCUUAGACUGAGCAUGUACACACCAAAUAAUAGAGAUUAUGAAAAGAAAACAUAUAUAGGAGAGGGAUGGAAGUUCCUUGGUGACCCUAAACUGUAGUUGGCUCUAAUGUAACGAAGUGUGUAAGCAUUAUUCUGAUUAACGACUCAUGGUUAAGAUUCUGUCGAAGUUUGUUGGUCUCUAUUUUGUUUCACUAGAGAGCAUGUUGAUCACACACGAUGCACUCCGUACUUGCAGUGGAAGAGUUGCAUGACUAAUAUGUGAGCUAGAUGAAUUUCUUGAUUGUUGCAAAUUCUGAGGAUUAUAUAUUGACAAGGUUGACACUUUCAUGAUCAGAAUCUAUGCAUAUUCAUUUAGUUUGCAUUCAUAUUAGUUGCAUUCUUAAGACUUGGCAGAAAAAAAAUGAAUUUUGUGGGUACAUUCACUAUAGGCCCUCACGAGACCUCACUCGUCCACUAGGGCUGCCUAGGGGUUUAAAGGGCUUGUUGCAUAUGCCAAAUGCAACCGUGAUCACCUACGGAAGUGGUAUAUAAUUAUUACGUAUUAGUUUUAGUUGUUUUAUUUGCCCGGGGACGUGCAAAACACUAAGUGUGGGGAUAUUUGAUA